GCUCCCGGUGACCCCGCGCAAAGGCCGGGCCUCCUGCGGUCCAGCUCCGCUCCGCCCGCCCGGGAGAUCAGCCCUUCCUUCCCGGCCUCCUCGCCUUCCUCGGGGCGCCUCCCUCGGCCGGCCCUGAGUCGUUUCCCAGGCUGCGCGCGAAAACCAAAGCCACCAGCGCUGCAACCCACUCGCCGCAGGAACAAGGACACUGGCCACUCAGCUCUUACGGACGGUCGGGGCGCCUCCGAUCGCGGAGAUGUGCAGCACGCCAGGAAGGGGAGAGAAGACUGACAUCUAUUGAAGGCUUCCUCUGGCCUCGAGAUGGAUGA
rnacentral:lncRNA from 1 species